AACACAUUGACAACUUUAAGACCAACAGAGGAUUUUGAUCCGUGAGAGUGAGCGCGCAAAGGGAGAGCAGGGGCGAAAAAUGGGAGUUCGAGGCCACUGUUGGCAAAAACGGGAUUGCCAAAAAAAUCGGAGACGUACGAGAAAAACUAUAGCAAUGCUUAUGCAACAAAUAUGGUGGAAGUAAACUUGCUAUCUCAGAAAUACAAAGAAGAUAAAACAAAGCAGCAAAGCUUAAGGUGGAAGACGAACAGGAACUGGAUACGGCGUCGUCUCUGGCAGCCUAGCUUGAGUUCUUGAUCGAUUGUGAAUGUGGCCCUGUAGGUUUCGGCCUGGAUAAUUAGGUGGAGUUGUAGCGGGCUUCUACCGGUCUUCUGAUCUUCUCUAAUAGCAAGAUCGAUCCAGAAAUGUUGGAGCACUUGAGCUUGAGUUGCGAGAGAUGUUGGAGAGCUUUCUAGAAAAUAAAGACGCUGGAGGUUAGGAAUGGGAGAAAUGCAGGAAAAAAUGCGAAGUUCUGCACUGCCAUACAACCCCUAAUUUUGUGCUCCUGGUGCAAGAUGGUGGUCCGAUGAUCGCCUGACCAGUACUGAUUGAAUACUAUGGUUAGCAAUAACCAACUGUUGUAGCCUGAUUAGCACAUUUAAUCCGAUUAUAACCUAUUCAGUGACAA